UGGGGAAUAUUGGACAAUGGGCGCAAGCCUGAUCCAGCCAUGCCGCGUGAGUGAUGAAGGCCCUAGGGUUGUAAAGCUCUUUCACCGGUGAAGAUAAUGACGGUAACCGGAGAAGAAGCCCCGGCUAACUUCGUGCCAGCAGCCGCGGUAAUACGUAGGUGGCAAGCGUUGUCCGGAAUUAUUGGGCGUAAAGCGCGCGCAGGUGGUUUAGAAAGUCUGAUGUGAAAGCCCACGGCUCAACCGUGGAGGGUCAUUGGAAACUAAUAAACUUGAGUGCAGGAGAGAAAAGUGGAAUUCCUAGUGUAGCGGUGAAAUGCGUAGAGAUUAGGAGGAACACCGGUGGCGAAAGCGGCUUUUUGGCCUGCAACUGACACUGAGGCGCGAAAGCGUGGGGAGCAAACAGG
rnacentral:rRNA from 1 species